rnacentral:tRNA from 1 species
UAGCUCAGCUUGGUUAGAGCAUCACCUUGACAUGGUGGGGGUCGGUGGUUCGAGUCCACU